UAUCUCUGUAGAGUCUGCAUAUCAAUAAGCGGAGGAAAAGAAACUAACUAGGAUUCCCUUCAGUAACGGCGAGUGAAGCGGGAAGAGCUCAAAUUUGAAAUCUUCAAGGUUCUACCUUGACGAAUUGUAGUUUAAAGAAGUGUUUUCUGUUGGAGUUUUGGUAAAAGUUCUUUGGAAUAGGACAUCAUAGAGGGUGAGAAUCCCGUAUUUGACCAUUCUUUCCAGCUGUGUGAUACACUUUCAAAGAGUCGGAUUGUUUGGGAAUGCAGUCCCAAAAUGGGUGGUAAAUUUCAUCUAAAGCUAAAUAUUGGCGAGAGACCGAUAGCGAACAAGUACCGUGAGGGAAAGAUGAAAAGAACUUUGAAAAGAGAGUUAAACAGUACGUGAAAUUGUCAAAAGGGAAGCGUUUGACACCAGUGUUGUUUUCUCGAAAAUCAAUUAAAAAUGAUGCCGGAUUUUGUGUUGUAUUGACUUUAUCAGCUUUCUGCACUUUUUUCUUGUCUUUUUUAAUGCACUUUUCGUUUAACAAGUCAACAUCAAUUUCUUUUGUUGUAAAAGAGUCAUUGGAAGGUGGCUUUCACUUCGGUGAAAGUGUUUAUAGCCUUUGACUUCUGCAAUCGGAGAGAUUGAGGUCUGCAGCGUAGAUCCUUCGGGGUUAGAUACAUUUGUGCUAAGUUAUAGCUUUUCAUAGACAACUUGUUGACUAUGAUAAGUCUUGUAAUUUACUCGCAGAUGCUAUUUUACCUACGCUUAGGAUGUUGAGUAGCGACAUACGCAC
rnacentral:rRNA from 1 species